AUUGAACGCUGGCGGCAGGCCUAACACAUGCAAGUCGAACGAGUGGCGGACGGGUGAGUAAUGUCUGGGAAACUGCCUGAUGGAGGGGGAUAACUACUGGAAACGGUAGCUAAUACCGCAUACCAUCGGAUGUGCCCAGAUGGGAUUAGCUAGUAGGUGGGGUAAUGGGUAACCUAGGCUACGGUCCCGAGCUGGUCUGAGAGGAUGACCAGCCACACUGAAAGGGAGACACGGUCCAGACUCCUACGGGAGGCAGCAGGGGGGAAUAUUGCACAAUGGGCGCAAGCCUGAUGCAGCGAUGCCGCUUGUGUGAAGAAGGCCUUCGGGUUGUAAAGCACUGUCAGUGGGGAGGCGUUACCCGCAGAAGAAGCACCGGCUAACUCCGUGCCAGCAGCCGCGGUAAUUC
rnacentral:rRNA from 1 species